GGCUCCUGCCAGCCCUCCUAGGGCAGGCUCCCAACACCUCAGAUGCAUCCAGAACCUGUCUCUGAAAGCUCUCUCCUUUUCCCAACAGUGCCACCAGCUGUGGACCCAGCAUUAAACACACAGGCCUCUGGGGGACAGCCAGAGCUAAAUCAUAGCUGCCUGGAUUUUCUGAAUUUUAUGUACCACGAUGUAGUCCUUCAAUGUUCUGCAGAUGUUCCUCAUUUAAGGGCAACCUCCCUGUUUAACAACUGUUCCACUUUAUGCCUGGCCACUCAGACUUAAUGCUUGUCUUUUUUUUUUUAAGUUUUGUAUGUCUAGUUUAUAGUGCUUCAAUGUCUAUUUUUGUACAAAGUCCCUUGUCUAGGCAGUAAUUCUUGUUGAUGAUACUGUAUAGUACAAAACUGUAAUUUUAUGUUCUGUUACAUAUUAGAGUGCUGUGUGAGAGAGUUAUGUAAAUAAAAACAAAGUCACCAAGCUGGAGUUUCCUUUGACAAUUUCUUUGUCCUGAAUAUAA
rnacentral:lncRNA from 1 species